rnacentral:rRNA from 1 species
AGUGAACGCUGGCGGUAGGCCUAACACAUGCAAGUCGAACGGCAGCACAGUAAGAGUUUGCUCUUACGGGUGGCGAGUGGCGGACGGGUGAGGAAUACAUCGGAAUCUACUUUUUCGUGGGGGAUAACGUAGGGAAACUUACGCUAAUACCGCAUACGAUCUACGGGUGAAAGCAGGGGAUCUUCGGACCUUGCGCGAUUGAAUGAGCCGAUGUCGGAUUAGCUAGUUGGCGGGGUAAAGGCCCACCAAGGCGACGAUCCGUAGCUGGUCUGAGAGGAUGAUCAGCCACACUGGAACUGAGACACGGUCCAGACUCCUACGGGAGGCAGCAGUGGGGAAUAUUGGACAAUGGGCGCAAGCCUGAUCCAGCCAUACCGCGUGGGAGAAGAAGGCCUUCGGGUUGUAAAGCCCUUUUGUUGGGAAAGAAAAGCAGCAGGUUAAUACCCCGCUGUUCUGACGGUACCCAAAGAAUAAGCACCGGCUAACUUCGUG